rnacentral:tRNA from 1 species
CCGGAAGGUGCGGCUGGAUCACCUCCUUUCUAGGGAGACCCGGAUACUGUCUCUUCCGUGGCGAGAGCUCGCUCGAGCCGCGGGUGACGGUGUUCUAUCCCAGGUCGUCCUCCCGGGUUUUCUUGUCCGUGCGCUAUUCUUCUCUCUUUCUGGAGCUUGGGACUGGGAAGUUGAGCCUGACCGGUUCGCCGGCCAGGCUCAUGUCGUCCCACCUGGGUUCGGACGGGCUCAGGUCCAUUUGGGCACGGGACUACGUGCCGUGGAGGCUCGACGCCAGGCGCAGGUCAAUGGCGCGUAUCCCACCGUGGGCCUGUAGCUCAGUUGGUUAGAGCGCACGCCUGAUAAGCGUGAGGUGGGUGGUUCGAGUCCACCCAGGCCCACCACUGCCCCCAACAUGGAGUUCCCGGCCCGGAUCCUGAGUUCCGGGGAUAUAGCUCAACUGGGAGAGCGCCGGCUUUGCAAGCCGGAGGCUGCGGGUUCGAGCCCCGCUAUCUCCACCAGAUAUGAGGGAAGGUCGCGGCUGCGCCUUGCAGCCCACCUAUAGAUCUUUGCGCCGCCACGAACGGCGCGCGGCCUCUUGGCCGCGAUCGAUCUUUGACAACCGAAUACGAGACGCUGGGUAAACAUAGUGCAUGCACCUUAGAUAUUUCCGGUCAAGCUACUAAGGGCGCAC